rnacentral:rRNA from 1 species
UUCGCAAUGCCCGAAAGGGUGACGAAGCGACGCCGCGUGGGUGAGGAAGGCCUUCGGGUUGUAAAGCCCUGUCAGGAGUUAAGAAAUGUAAGUGCGCUAAUAUCGCAUUUAUUUGACGAAGGCUCCAAAGGAAGCCACGGCUAACUCUGUGCCAGCAGCCGCGGUAAUACAGAGGUGGCAAGCGUUGUUCGGAAUUAUUGGGCGUAAGAGCACGUAGGUGGGUUUGUAAGUCAGAUGUGAAAGCCUUCUGUUCAACGGAAGAAUUGCAUCUGAAACUGUGAAUCUUGAGUGUAGGAGGGGAGAAUGGAACUUCUGGUGGAGCGGUGAAAUGCGUAGAUAUCAGAAGGAACGCCGGCGGCGAAAGCGAUUCUCUGGCCUAUUACUGACACUGAGUGUGCGAAAGCUAGGGGAGCAAACGGGAUUAGAUACCCCGGUAGUCCUAGCCGUAAACGAUGGGCACUAAGUAGAGGGGUUUUA